rnacentral:rRNA from 1 species
UACAGAGGUCUCAAGCGUUGUUCGGAUUCAUUGGGCGUAAAGAGCGUGUAGGCGGCUUGGUAGGUCUGCUGUGAAAACUCGGGGCUCAACCCCCGAGACGUCGGUGGAAACCACCUGCUAGAGUCCGGAAGAGGAGAGUGGAAUUCCUGGUGUAGCGGUGAAAUGCGCAGAUAUCAGGAAGAAUACCGUGGCGAAGGCGGCUCUCUGGUACGGCACUGACGCUGAGACGCGAAAGCGUGGGGAGCGAACAGG